GUGCCAGCAGCCGCGGUAAUACGGAGGGUGCGAGCGUUAAUCGGAAUUACUGGGCGUAAAGGGUGCGUAGGCGGUUGAAUCAGUCGGAUGUGAAAGCCCCGGGCUUAACCUGGGAAUUGCAUUCGAUACUGUUCGGCUAGAGUACGAUAGAGGGUGGUGGAACUCCAGGUGUAGCGGUGAAAUGCGUAGAUGUCUGGAAGAACACCAGUGGCGAAGGCGGCCACCUGGAUCGUAACUGACGCUGAGGCACGAAAGCGUGGGGAGCAAACAGGAUUAGAUACCCUGGUAGUCCACGCCCUAAACGAUGAGAACUAGCCGCUGGGAGGAUUAACCUUUCAGUGGCGUAGCUAACGCGUUAAGUUCUCCGCCUGGGGAGUGCGGCCGCAAGGUUGAAACUCAAAUGAAUUGACGG
rnacentral:rRNA from 1 species